rnacentral:rRNA from 1 species
CCUACGGGAGGCAGCAGUGGGGAAUUUUGCGCAAUGGGCGAAAGCCUGACGCAGCAACGCCGCGUGCGGGAAGAAGGCCCUCGGGUUGUAAACCGCUUUCAGCAGGAACGAAACUGACGGUACCUGCAGAAGAAGCCCCGGCCAACUACGUGCCAGCAGCCGCGGUGAUACGUAGGGGGCGAGCGUUGUCCGGAUUCAUUGGGCGUAAAGAGCUCGUAGGCGGUUCGGUAAGUCAGAUGUGAAAACUCCGGGCUCAACUCGGAGAGGCCAUCUGAUACUGCCGUGACUGGAGUUCGGUAGAGGAGUGUGGAAUUCCCGGUGUAGCGGUGAAAUGCGCAGAUAUCGGGAGGAACACCAGCGGCGAAGGCGGCACUCUGGGCCGAUACUGACGCUGAGGAGCGAAAGCGUGGGGAGCGAACAGGAUUAGAUACCCUUGUAGU